rnacentral:lncRNA from 10 species
CAGAAUUAAUGGCAAGAUUUUUGCUUUGUAAAAAGGGCCAGCCUACAUAGAUACUUAAUUUAUAACCUGGAACUGAGAGGCCUUUCCUGAACAACUCUAUCUAAAAUAUUUCACCCUCUCCCAUCCUUGGUCCUCCACCAUAAUCCACUGCCCCAUGAUGUGUUUCAUUGUUUUCACCAGGCACUUGGCACCACCUAACAUUACAUGACGGUGCUUAUGUGUUUGUUGAUUGUUGGUCUUGCACCCAGAAUACCAGCUCCAUGAGGCCAGGUGUGCUGUGUGCUGGUUCACCAGCACCAGGUAGACCGUGGGCAUCAAGGUUCAUGUGAACAGGGGAACCCAGCAAGGCUGGACCCCUGCAGUGGUGAUUUCUCCUGAAAGGCACGUGGAUGGGUGGUGUUGACCAAACAGCUGUGAUUACAUUUUCUCUCAGGAAGUCUGAAUCCAGGACACUUACUUACUCAAAGGCAAUUCUCUCCAAAAAUUACUUUUUUGUGAAAACCUGUUUCAGGGCUUGAUUCACAUGUUGUUCGUGGCAGAGAAUGAAGUGUCUCUUUUCUCUUCCUUAGUGCUGUGUUUUCUUCCUAUGAAAAGAAAAAAAGAAAAGACUCCAGAUGGAGAGCCUCAAAUUGUCGGCAGAUUUGAAACUCCCCUGGAAUUUGUAUUGGUGAUGCAGAGUUUGGUGCAGACUGACAAUACGCAGCUGUGAUUCUUUUAAACAACACUGGACUCUAGGUGACCAUCAUGCUUCCUGGGGGCAGCUGCACACAAGUCAGUAUAAAGCGGAGAAAGUAACACCAGUAGGUUAAGGUGAGUAAAAUCCCCCCUCUCUUUGGUCUUCUGAUAAUUCAGCAGUAACUGUCACCUAGGUUUUGGUAUUUCUCCUUCAUACGUACAAGUAGCAUGUGUUACUCUUUAAGACAAAAUUCUGGGGAUGAGGGGAGAGAUAUUCUCUUUUCAACAUUUGUCUGGUGCCAUUUCUGUAUAUGAUCUGUGACUAAAGCCCAGUCCUGUGGCUGGGUAAGUGUCCUAAGGCUGGGCCCUCAGGACACCACUUCCCUCCCAGACCUACAUCCUAGCCAGCAGGGUCUCCGCCAGCAGUGCACAUCUGUGAAUGUGGCCCAGGGAGGAGAGGGUUGCCCUUCCAAAUGCUGCCUUUGUGGACAGCUCGCCACUCCUCUUGGGUGAUGCCAAAGCCUGCCACUGAGCUCAAGUUUCCCCCACUGCAAUAUGAAACACUGCCUUUAGGUGCCUGGUGCUGUGUCUGCUGUUUUGAAAAUGAAAAUAUUUGCUUCUAACUCCAUCUACCAUCUGUUUGUAACCUUUACGCCUAUCCAUAUGCCAGCUUGAAACUGCCACUGUAGCCUUUGGGUCUCCCUGGACUUUCACAACAGACUAGACACCAUAUCCUCUUAGAAUGGUUUGGACAGCCAAGAGCCAUUGUCAUGAGCUGUUCACCACCACAAGCACAGUCUACUUUUUUAAAGGGCUGCAGUUGUGUGUCACUUCCAAGCUACCAUGGGGAGGACCAAGAAAGAGAAACAAAGGAUUAGAAAGUAAAAUAUGAGAACAUAACAAACCUAUGGAAUUCACUACAUCUUUCAGAACAUUACUGGCUAGACUAAAAAAAAAAUUGUGCAUGCUAUCAAAGAAAGUAAAUGGAAAAAGUAAUACCAAAUUUGUUUGAUAUUUCAAGAUAACAGUGACACAGCAAAAGAGGAAGACCCUAUUUAAGAAGUGGUACAACCCAUGGGAAUUUAAAAACAGGUGAGGAUAUGUAAUAUUUGACAACACUAUCUCCAAGAAGAAACAAGACUCUAAGCAAUGCAAUAAUGAUAUUGUUUCGGAUGUGAAUAAAGUAGGUCUAGCCUAAAUGCAGGUGUCACACGCAAAUAUUCACUUGUGGGUAGUAGGCAUCUUAGCAAUGAGAACAAUAGGAGAUGUUUAGUUCUGGCAUAGAUAGAGGUCCCUGGUUGCCAAGCUAGUUGUUCAUGAUCAUUACUUAUUAUUUCUUGCUUACCAAGAAAAUUAUCAAAAUAUGAGUUUGCUCUGUGAUUUAGUCAGGGUUUGCCAGAGAGACAGAACCAAUAGGAUAUGUAUAUAUAUAGAAAGAGGGGAAAAUGAACUUAUUAGGGGAAUUAGUUCACUUGAUUAUGGAGGCUGAGAAGUCCCAUGAUAGGCUGUCAGCGAGCUGGAGAAUGAAGGAAGCCAGCAGUGUGCUCAGUCCAAGUCUGAAGACCUUAGAACCAAGGAAGACAAUGGUGUAAAUCUCAGUUCAAGGCGAAAGGUCCAAGAGCCCAAGGGUCCACUGGUGUGAGUGCUGGGGUCCAAAGAUGGGAGAAUCUGGGGUCUAACCUCCAUGGGCAGGAGAAUAUGGGCAUCCUGGCUCUGGAAGAGAGAGUAAGAAGUCAUCCUUCCCCUCCCAUUUUGUUCCAUCUAGGCCCUCAGCCAACUGGAGAGUGCCUACUCACAUUGAAGGUGGAUAUUCUCCACUCAGCCCACUGACUUACAUGCCAGUCUCCUCUGCAAACGUCCUCACACCUCGGGCAGCCCAAUCAUUUAACCAAACUCCAAGUCACCUGGCUUUGAGGAACAAGUUCAGUGCCUACUGAAGUAGUAAGAAUAAAUAAUGUUUUGCCAGCUAUCUGGGUGUCCCUUAAUCUGGUCAAGUUGAUACCCAAAACCAACCAUCACACCCUGGCACAAAGCAAGCUGGGACCUCAAUACCCUGUGUCACUGGGGAGGACUUAAGAGUUUUAAGUCUAGAUUUGAUGGGGCAGUACUGAAAGAGAGAAGGGACUAAUGACUAAUCCAGUCAACCCUUCAUGAGCAACUGAAUUGUCAGAGGUACAAUGUAGAGAGGGCAUGAAAUGUGCAGAUGGAAUUCAGCAACCCUGGUGCAGAGGAGUCCGUGGUAGGAAUCCAGGAAUCAAGUAACAAACAAAUAUAGCAAGUGGCACCACAUUUCUAGGCAUAUAAAGAAAUAAUAACACCUAGAAUUUGUAAACAAUUUGCUAAGCUCAGGGCUAAGGGCGUCACAAAUCUUGUGAAGCUAGCCAGUGAGAGAGGUACUAUUUUUAUCCCCCAUUUCUAGAUGGAUAAAUUGCAGUUCAGAAAUUGUAACCCCAUUGGUACUUGCCAGGUAGGGAUAUAAACCAAAGCUCAAGCGUUUCACCCUGUACAGUCUGAUUCUUCAACCUUCACCCCACCCCUUCCACAUUAGAUACCUGCAAUACAGUUAGGAAUGGUUUUUACUGGUCUUAGUCAAUCAUGGUGAUUCAUUAACCAGUGGUGGUUCAGGAACUUAGACCAGUCAGCAUCUAGCCUUUCCCUACUAAAAUUAUUGAUUCAAGAAGAGCAUAUGACUUAAAUUGGUCCAAGGAAAUGAACAGGAAGAACUUGGGCUCCAAAGAUCAGUGAGAAAUGUUGAUUUUCCCUCUGGAAGUGAACAGAGAAGCACAUGACACCAAUUGUUACUCAAAGCAACCAUACUACUAAGUAGAGCAUUUACCUUAGGAUGAAGUCUUCUUUGUGGAUUGCUGUGUGGAGAGACAGAGGGACCAUUGUUUAUUGAUGACAUAAUUAAGCAGGAGGAUCAACAAGAUUUGUGGCUGUCCUACCUCUGGAUUUUGUUUUGUAUGAGCCAAGAAAUAUCCUAUCUGUUUAAAUUGCUUUGAAUUGAGUCACCAUUUCCUGCAACUGAAAACACUGUAACCAAUAUCUACUCCAUGGGACCUCCUCAGAAAAACAAGGGAGGAGUAAUACAAACCCAUAUAGAUGAUAUCCUUCAUGUGAGCCAUUCCUUAAUACGCCCUUUCAUAGAUGAGAAGGGCAAAGUCCAGCAAAGUUGAGUAAUUUGUCUUAGGUGACACAGCUAGUAAUUGUUAAGGCUGGACUUUGUUCCUCUGAGUAUCUGACACCAAAGUCUGUAUGCUUUCCAAUAUGCACAAUGAAAAUCUUGGCCAGUAAUGAAAGGUAUGCAGAUCAUAUUCCAGUCCCAUGCAGAAGUUAGUCAAAGGUUCACUGAAGAUAAAGUCUAAUAAGUAAUCUGGUUUUCACAGCAGAAUGCCAGUCACAGCAAGGGACUUGUGUGCUGGGCAGAGAGAGCCUCUUGUAUGGCUGGGCCAACAUGGCAGGAGAAGGGAAAGGCUGUGAUUCAGAGGCUAAUCCCCAGCACAUUGGACACUUGGUGGAAGGCCAAGCGUGACCUUCAGACUCUACCAGCUGCUGUGUGUGAGGCUACUGAUCACCCUUCCUGCCCUGGUCAGGCCUGGCUCAGCCACCAGUGGGGAGCAGAGCAGCUCAAAUGAAACAUCUGGAAAAGACAGAAGAUGGUAAAAAGAAAAAAGGAGAAAGAAAAAAAAAGGGAGGAGAGUGAAUCCAUAGAUAUUAGGAACAUAGUGAUUAUGAAUAUAAUAAAAAGUGACUCCAAACUCUUGGCUUAUCAGGAUGUACCAGUCCUCUCUUGCCAAUACUGUACUAUGUGCAAGUUUUGAUUACCUGUUUCGAGGUGAGUUUUUACAUAUAUUAUUUUCCUAAAACUGGUUGCCAUUCUGUCCUAAUUUCUUGCUCAAAAUUUAUAUUUGCAUCUGAAAACUCAAAGUACCAUGGCACCUGGCUACCUUUCCCAAUCUGUUCCUGUUCCAGAGCUGCACAUAUGGCUGCUGACGUUGAAGACAGCACUUUAUUUUAGGGGGUGCCAGUCACAUGGCUUCCCCUCGAAUGGUGCAGUGUACAAUCUGCACAACCAUACCCAGUAGUCUUGCCUGGUUCUCUUAGUUCCUUAUGCAAAAUUGGUCUAAAACUUUUUAAAUGUCAUGUUUUUGCCAGAUGUGGUGGCUCAUGCCUGUAAUCUCAGUGCUUUGGGAGACAAAGAUGGGAGGAUCACUUGAGGCCAGAGUUCAAGACCAGCCUGGGUAACAUAGCCAGGUCCACCCUCUGCCUUCCCACCCCCACCCCCACGCCCAUCUUUACACAAUCUUUUAAAAAAUUAGCUGGACAUGGUGGCACAUACUUGUAAUCCCAGUUACUCAGAAGACUGAGGUGAGAAGAUCACUUGGGCACAGGAGUUCAAGGUUAGAGUGAGCUAUAAUCAGGCCACUGCACUCCAGCCCGGGCAACAAAGUGAGACUCUAUCUCUAAAAUAAAUAAAUUUUAAUUUUAAAAAAUU